GAAAAAACCUAAAAGCCUUUCCAAACAAAUCUAUAGAACUCAUUUUCUAAUAAGGAACAAAGAUUAAAAUUGUACUCACUAUAGUUAAAUCAAUACAUCAUGAAGUUCAUUCAAACAACUUUUUCUUCUUUCUUCUUUAAAAUUUCAAUGGAAUAACAAAGAGUAAGAAUCGUAUAAACUCAAUUUUUAAGUUUGAAAUUGGAAGUACCACCCUUUGCAAUUUGCCCUAAAUAAAGAUCAAAAUGUAUAAGUAUAUUAUAAAUUUGAAUUCGCACUUUUUGACGCAAUCGCAUCGCACGUAACUUUUCACGGAUUUCUUCUAUCUCGGACCAUCAUUUUCUCAUUGGCAUGGGAUUCGAUCAAACUGUUGCUGAACCACUCGACCCUAUAGAUCAAACUCAUCUAGCAUGGAAAAUUACUGUGCACUCCCUUUCUGAUCUAUCUUAUAUAUCUCCUGUUGUAUUCUUAUACCUUCUAAAAGAAUGUUAUAUUCGUGGCACAUUGAAAGCAACUAAGAAGUUUCGAUUCCUUCAGCAACAAGUUCAUUUAGUACUUCAUAAUGGUCCCCAACCUGGACCAGCUACCUUUGUUAUUCGUUGCCUAUACGUCUUGCCUAUAUUUGGACUAUAUAGUGAAGGAUUCAGCCACUUGAUUACCUCAGCCCUCCAACGUUUUCUGAAAGUUGUGAUAACUCCAGCAGACCUUGAUGAAGCAAAGGACCUAGCUGCUCAGUUAUUUAUUGAUAUUGUUGGAGGAUUCAUUGCGCAUGAUGACAGGAUAGUCGUGAAGAUUAUACAGAUAUUUGAUGUUCAAUUGUCCGAUGUUGAGAAAGUUAUGUUUGAAUCUAAGGCAAGAAAUAGGUGUUCCUCUGACUCAGCCAAAGACUUUGUCGAACAAUAUGUUUCUGAGUUAUUAGAAACUCAGGGUUAUGCGACAGCUGUUGACGUAUUAGAGCAUUUCUCUAUUCACCAAUCUGGGCAGUCCCUUCUCUAUGGCAUGUUGCAGAACAAUGAAUUUAAGGCAGCUGAGAAAUGGGCCACUUUCAUGGGAAAGCAAAUGUUACAUCUGCUUGUCCAGGAGUUGAUAAAUAGAAACAAACUAAAAAGUGCGUAUGGCGUUAUAAAGAAAAAUGAUUUACAGAAGGAAUUUCCCGAUGUCUAUCAGAAGUGUAAAGAGAGCUCCUUGAAGAAUUUAGCUGAAAAAGGAUGCUGGGAUGUUGCUGAGGCAAAAGCAAACAACAAUAGGCAAUUUCUUGAAUAUCUGGUUUACUUGGCAUUGGAGGCUGGUUAUUUCGAAAAAGUUGAUGAACUUUGCACUAGGUACUCCCUCACGGGUUUUCUGAAUAUCAAAGAACGUGAGGGAAGUUAUGAACAGAAGUUACCUAACCACUAUCUGGAUCUUAAUCAACUAAUUGAUGGAAAUAUAUUAUGGAUCGACAACGCUGAUGCUUUACAUCGUGCAACAUGCCAUAUCGAGGAGUGUAAAGUUGUUGGUAUUGAUUGUGAGUGGAAACCUAACUAUAUUAAGGGCAAGAAACCGAACAAGGUAUCUAUAAUGCAAAUUGCUUCCGAGAAAAUGGCUUUCAUCUUUGACUUGAUCAAGUUAUAUGAUGAUGUCCCUGACAUUCUAGACAAUUGCCUGACUCGCAUCUUGCAGUCUUCUAGUAUUUUGAAGCUCGGCUACAAUUUUUUAUGCGAUGUAAAGCAACUGUCCCAUUCGUAUGAAUCAUUGAAGUGUUUCAAACAUUAUGAGAUGUUACUAGACAUUCAAAAUAUAUUUGACCAUAGUGGAGGUCUAUCUGGGCUUGCACAGAAAGUGUUGGGAGCUGGAUUGAACAAGACACGAAGAAAUAGUGACUGGGAACAGCGGCCUUUAACGGUGAAUCAGCUAGAAUAUGCAGCGCUGGAUGCUGUGGUGCUCGUCCAUAUCUUCCAACAUGUUCGAGAUCAAUCACAGCCAUCUACGACAACAGAAGGGGAAACACGACUUGAGCGGAAAUCCUUUAUUGUCUCCCACAUGGAUAACUCGUCAAAACUGAAGAAGAAAAAAGAGAGGAGCAAAAAGGAAGCAGAAGUUGUAACCAAGUUGUAAUGUCAGAUGUGAAUUAUGUUAGGAUGUUUAUGGUACACUCGUGCCUUUCCUGUACAUAUUCAUUCAAAUCAAAAUUGAACAAUGAGGAGUGAAGACUAGGAAUUACUUUGUAGAUUGGAUCAAUUUGUUCUCUUAGCGAGUGACAACAGAUUUAUAUUAUUAAUCUUUGAUCUUGGCGACUACUUGUGGAUUUGAACGUUUGAUGUCUAAGGAUGGAGGUUAUCAGUAUUAGUAACAAUAUUUCUCAUCGGUAUUAGUGUUGUAUUGAUAACUUAAUAUCAGUAGACCAUAAUAAGUAUCACUUUGAGAGUAUGAGUAUUGGAAUUGGUAAUUGGUAUA